UACGUAGGGUGCGAGCGUUAAUCGGAAUUACUGGGCGUAAAGGGCGCGUAGGCGGCCGAUCAAGUCAGAUGUGAAAGUCCUGGGCUUAACCUGGGGACUGCAUUUGAUACUGAUUGGCUUGAAUGCAGGAGAGGAUAGCGGAAUUCCCAGUGUAGAGGUGAAAUUCGUAGAUAUUGGGAAGAACACCGGUGGCGAAGGCGGCUAUCUGGACUGUGAUAGACGCUGAGGCGCGAAAGCGUGGGGAGCAAACAGG
rnacentral:rRNA from 1 species